AUUUGUUUAUAUUUUUCGCUCUAUUCACACAAUCAUCACCUUCACUCCAAGUUCAUUCAUGCACUGCUGUUGUCACGCUUCAACUAGCUACGUAUUGUUCAUAAACAGUUUAUUUACUGUUCAUUAGUAAGUGCUCUAUAAAUGCAGCCCUAAUCCUUUCCCUUUCCCUCAAACGCAUUUGCAGUCAUCGAUUUAGUACUGCAAUUCGGGUUGAGUACACAACCGCUCCGAGCAAUUUCUCUCCAAAACCAGAGGCAUAGCGUCUUCAAACGUUCUUCACUCUUCGAAGAAGUAUAAAAUAGAAAAGAUAACUGUUGUUGCGAGGGACAUGGUGAAGAAGAAUAGAUCUUCUAAAAGAAAGCUAGAGAUGGAGAUGUAGCCAUAAGUGAAGGAUUUACUUCUGAGAUUAUAUCUGAUAAAAAAGACAAAAUGGCAACUGGUUCCACCAACAUGGAUUCCAACAUGGAUGUGUCCCAAGCUGUAGGUACCCAAACUCAGGCUGUGGGUUCUACUAUGGGUGCAGGGCCUAGUUCGGUUAUGGGUGUAGCUAUGGCUGCAGGGCCUAGCUCUGUUAUGGCUCAAACUGUGGCUCCGAUUCUAGAUGGAAGGUUGAGAUGUUAAUUUUUUAUGCUUGGAAAUGUUCAGCAAGCCCUUUGGGGAGUUAUACUUUGGCUUUUAUUUUCUGUAAACCUUGGCAAUGCUUUCAACAGCACAUGGUAUUUUUUUUUCAUUAUCCUUGGUUUGAGCAUGACUCCUAGUUUCACAUUCUGGAGUUCAAACUUGAAAGUCAGUUGGGAAGUGCUCGGCUUGUGUUUAGUCAUAAGGGAAGAUUAAUCGACAUAUCGCAUUUAAUCGUUCUUAACUGCUUUUGUAGAGGCUAAAAAAUAAUGAGAACGAAUAAGGAAUGCUAAAAUUGAAUAUGUGAAUGACUCUUUCUCAUUCUAUAUGAUUGGUGAGUAGCUCUUACUGAAACAAUAUCCUGAUAUUAAUGGGGUUGUGCAUUCUUUUUGUUGUUUCUCUCUAUAUAUGAUAUUCCUUCUCAAUCUUCUACAUACUUAACCUUGCCACCAUUGCUUCUUUCAAAGUUGGGUUAUUCUACCACCUCGUUAACAAUGGGGAAUUCUUACUGUUUUGACUAUCUGUUUGUGCUAUGCACGGUUCAGGAUUUACCAAAAUCCAGCCCUUUUAAGGGCUGCUGGUGCAGCAUUCUGGACAUCAUGUCGUGCUAUCUCAAAGCUGUUGUGAGCUACACUGGCGACCUAAAAAGAGCCUGGGGCUUAAGUUUUAAUGCUCCAUUGCUGCCUUGGCAGCUUUCAAGUUUCGACAUUGCAAAAUUGUGCCACAUACUGCUUUCCUUUCGCUCAUGCCUGUUAAUUCAUUGGAUGUUAUUUGUUGAUCUGCAUAAUUUUCUAGUGUUCUUCAUUUUCAUGGCUGAUUGUUAUUAUCGCCAUGUAAUGUAUAGAGUGGGCUUUCAUUUGGCCAAGAGCCAGCAAUGGCUGGAUACAUGUAUAGGUUUUGCUGUUGUGAGGCGUGUACUAUCACCAACUUAUCAUUACUAAUGUAAAUUCGUUAUGGAAACAACUGUGCAUAUUUUGUAAA